GGGAAACUAACCAAGGAGAGAGGAAACUGU
rnacentral:piRNA from 1 species